CGGAAUAUGGCCCAGCUUGGCAGGGCGCCGCACUGGGGGUGCGGAGGUCGCGGGUUCAAGUCCCGCUAUUCCGACCA
rnacentral:tRNA from 1 species